UAUUAUUCAUUUUCCCAAUCUCUGUCUUCUAAUGUUUUUUUAGACCAUUCACAUUUAGUGCAGUUAUUGAUAGGAUCAGAGUUACAUUUUGCCAUUUUGCUAUUUGUUUUCUAUGUCUUCAGGCUUUUUUGUUCUCUGUCCUUCCUUUAUUAACUUCUUUUGUGCUAAAUAAAUCUUUCAGUAUAUCAUUUUAAUUCCUCUAUUGAAUAUUUUUUACUGUUUUUGAGCUAUUUUCCUAGUGUCUGUGCUAGGGAUUCCAAUAUGCAUUUUAACUGACUAUGGUCUAUUUCAAACGAAUAUUAACUUAAUUCCUAUGAAAUAUAGAAUGUUUCCUCCAAUGUAACUCUAUUACUUUCCCCUCUUGUGCUAUUAUUUUUAUAUAUAUUAUAUCUAUAUAUGUUACCAAACCAAUACACAAUGUUACAAUUAUUUCUUUGUACAAUCUCAUGUCUUUUAAAGAAUUUAACAGAAGAAUGAGAAAAUAUAUUUAUAGAUUCUUUUUUUAAAACCCAGAAAUUUAUUACUUCUGGCUCUCUUAAUUUCUUCCAGCUGAUUCGAGGUACUGUCUGAUGUCAUUUUCUUCCAGCCCAAAGAAUUUCCUUUAGUAUUUCUCACAAUUCAGUUCUGAUAUCAAGAAAUUCUUCCAGUCUUUUUAAAUUUAAGAAUGUCCUUAUUUCACCUUUAUAAUUAGUGGAUAGUCUUGCUGGAUAAAAAAAUUCUUCGUUACCAUUUUUCUUUCAGUAUUUUGAAUAUGCCAUUUCUCUGCCUUCUAGGGUCUAUCUUCUCUGAUGAGCAGUUAGAUAUUAUUUAUGUUGAUGCUCUCCUGUACAUGUUCAGUUGUUUUUCUCUUUCUUCUUUUAAGAUUUUCUCUUUGUGUGUGGUUCCAACAGUUUGACUAUGAUGUGUCUAGGUAAAACUAUAUCUUUGUAUUUAUCCUACUUGGAGUUCAGUAAGCUUCUUGGAUGUGUAAAUUAACAUUGUUUCAUCAACUUUGGGAAGUUUUGGACAUUAUUUCUUCAAAAAAUUACAAUAGCUAUUAGAUCCACAAUUUGAGGAGGUUAUUAGAUGAGAUUUGGGACAUUUACUGGGAAAGUCUAGGAACCUGGAAAUUGGAAUGAUUACAUGUAUUUGGAUUCAGAUAUAGCUGAACUCAUUGGGCACAAUGAGUCUCCCUUGAUUUCAUAAGCAGUUGUUUCUCCCUGUGUGAGGCUGUUCCUUCAUUGCUGGUAUUCAACUAUAGGAUGAAUCUCAAAAUCAUUAUCCUGAGUGAAAAAAAAGCCACACAAAAAUACACUGUAUGAUUCCUUUUGCAUGAAACCCUAAAAAGAUAAAACUAAUCUAAUAUUGACAGGCAUAGAGAGAAACAGUUCCCAGAUGGAGGUGUCUGAACACUUUGAAAAGUGAUCCAAUAUACUGGGGCUCUCAAUAGAUUGCCUCAAUUACUCACUCAGAUAAGGCUUGAAUACAAGAAUAUCUUCAAGAGGGACAUUAAGUUCCUCAAUAUUUUAUAAAAUGAUCACUACCCAUAUGAGGGUGAAUGCCAGGUAAGUACACCUCCCCCAAUUACUGCUAGAAUGGACUCAGUGUGAGGUCAAGAUUAAGGUGAAUAAAUUGUAUUCCUUCACUUACAUGGAUUUACUGAGCAUCUAGGAAGCCCAAAGUUAUUAUCAGAGGAGAAGGAUAUGGUCAAACAUAUACUACUACUUGGUCAGAACAGAUAUUCUAUACUCUGUGCACUUUGCCUGGCAGGUGUACACUUGCCUCUGCACAGCUUUGAGGCUUAUUAGACAGUUCAAGUUUGUUGUACCUGCCACACUCUCUGCAAUUUUAAGGCCUUUAAGGUAUACUAAAAGUCACUGCUUUGAGGAGCUUAGAAAAAGAAGUGAAGAGUAACUGAAUUCUGACAGUGUCUCUCUCACUUCUCUCUCUCUCUCCAAAUCCUAAGGGGUGAUCCUAGUAUAAGUUACCCCUGAAGGAGAUACACACUAUCCUCAGGCCCUGUCCAAACUUCCUUACUGGCUCCAGGCCCAUAAUGGGAAUAAAAAACAGCUAUGUUCAGAGUAAGAUUGCAAGAAAUCCAGAAAUUAAAAAACCAAA
ensembl:lncRNA